rnacentral:misc_RNA from 1 species
GAAAUGCGAUACUUGGUGUGAAUUGCAGAAUCCCGUGAACCAUCGAGUCUUUGAACGCAAGUUGCGCCCGAAGCCAUUAGGCCGAGGGCACGCCUGCCUGGGUGUCACACAUCGUUUCCCCAACGCAAACAUGUAACAAUGUUGACUGACAGGCAUCGAUGAAGAAC